GACAAAAAUGCAGAUCAGGCUAUUUAGCUCUGUAUCCACAAGGGCGCGCAACAAACUAAGAAACUAUCAGUUAAUACCUAAAACAGUCUAAAACACUCUCAAACAUAUUUGAUCGUGAUGUUUACAUCAUAAAGUUAUAUAUAAUAUUUCCUCAAGACAUUCUGACUACAAAAACACGAUUAUUUUAUUUGUCAUUUGGUAAUAAUAUAGCCUCACGCAUCCGCGAGCGAGAGACGCGACGCAAACGCGCCACUGGAAAGUUCUCCACGAAUCACAUCACGCGGCGACGAGGGCCUUGGCUUCUGAUUGGUCACGGGCUGGUGACGUAGGAAUCCAGACGCGUCGCGUACAGUAGUCUAGGUUGAUUCGCGUCCAGUGAGACGUGAAGGCAGCCGCGGAAGUAUCGGCUUUCAGUUCAACAUGGCUUCAAGUGCGACGAGCUGAGGAAAACCAGGGCUAUUUUCUAUUUCACCACUCCCGAGGCGACAAACGAGGGAAAAGACUUGGGAAAUAUAUUCAAGAGCCGCUUUUAUUCAAGUCAUGGUGAGAAGACACUGACCAGGUCGCUCAGGUUUACACAGUGUGGGCUUCGGCCAUCAUGAACAAGACUGCAGUCUGAUGCCAUCGCUCUCCAUUCCGCCUGCCAUGGACGGGCACAUCUUUUCACAUUCGGACGGACCUCAACUGGAUGCCGGGGGGUUCAUCCAUGCACCCCCUGUGAGCCAUGUGUUUGCCAACAACCCUUGGAGCUUCCCCCAUCAGACCUACAGCUUGCCCUGUCCUGUGCAAUCUGAAAACCAGCAGCAGCUUCUCCUCGGCCCGUCGGACAUGCACACGGAUUUGUUUCCCAACGGCCUCAGCGACUUUGACUUGCCGAGUCUGAAUCUCACUCAGAAUGAAGACCUUCCUCUGGAAGGAGGAAGGAGGUGUUUAUUUGCUUUGAAGAGCACGUAAGAUGUUUCUCAAACUAAAGGAAAAGACAUGCUGAACUGUACAACACAAGAGAAUGAGAAACCACAGGCCGACCACAAAGCUCACAAACCUACAUGCAUUUGCGUACUCCUGUCACAGGCACGUUUUGUAGUGCGUGCAUUGUCAUCCGUGGCUCUGGGAGGGUCUUUGGAAAGCUUUUUGUUUUUCUCUUGAACUACUUUAAGAGUUUGAGCGCUCUGCAGAGAUUGAUUUAGAUGAUCAGACACCUUUGGGUGGGAGGUUGCCAUAAGUGGAUUUCAGAGGAAACGUACAGUCGCUAGUUUAGCCUACACCAGUUACACUUAACUGGAAGCCAUUUUUCCUACACACCUUACAAGGAAGGAAGAUGCCUGUUGCAUUUUUUUUUUUUUUAAAUUCAAGAUAUUGUCUUGCUGAUUGCCAUUUAUUGUAUGGUUUAAACAUCCUAUAACAAUUUUUAUGUAUAUUUUAGAUAUAUUGUAUAUGAAUACACACACACGUUUUAAAUAAUAUCAUAAAUUAUAUGCAGAGAAAAUAUAUAAUAAAAAUCAGUAAAAUAUAAAUAAAUAUAUAUAC
ensembl:lncRNA